rnacentral:lncRNA from 1 species
UUGCUUGCCAUGAACAUCUCAAGAGAAAAUGAAAAGAAUGGCAUGAUCAGAAGUUGAGCAGUGUACAUCCUGCACAGCCAAAUGCAACAGGUCUUUUCCAGAGUCUGCUGCCACUCGGAUCCGUCCUUCUGCACAACCCAUGCUGUCAACCAGGAGCUAUUCUGUCCCCACCGACUCAACGAGGCAGCAACCAGUUCUGUACAUGAAGAUUCCAAGGGAUCCCAAAUGGCACGUGUUAGAACAGACACUAUCCAAGAAGGAAAGGACAUAUCUGUCAACCAUGCUACAAGUGUCAUGCCACCAUGGAAGUUGAUUGCUAGAUACUGAGCUGGCAUACACCACACACACACACACACACACACACACACACACACACACACGCUGAAGCAUCCUCAGAAUUCCUGCAACUCCAAGGUUCAAACGUCCAAGAAGAAUACUGUGGGGUGAGGACUGUGUGCUUGGCCAGGCUCUUUGGAGCCUACUUGGUGUCUCUGAAGGACUGGAAAUAGAAUUUGCUUUCAGUUAAAGGAGCCCUAAUACCAGUCUCUGCCAGAAUGCCAGAAGUUACAAAUCCUCAUGCCCUGUCCACCCUCUCUCCAGUGGAGACUCUUUGUGUGUGUGUGUGUGUGUGUGUGUGUGUGUGUGUGUUUUCCUGUUCAGUGUUUUUUCUUUUUCUUUUUUUUAUUAUACUUUAAGUUUUAG